GGCGCGCAACUGACGCUCAUGCACGAAAGCGUGGGUAUUCGAACAGGAUUAGAUACCCUGGUAGUCCACGCAGUAAACGAUGAACACUAACUGUUCGGCCAGAAUGAUGGCUGAGUGGUACAGCGAAAGCGUUAAGUGUUCCACCUGGGGAGUACGCCGGCAACGGUGAAACUCAAAGGAAUUGACGGGGGCCCGCACAAGCGGAGGAACAUGUGGUUUAAUUCGAUGAUACGCGAGGAACCUUACCCGGGCUCAAACGACACAGGAAUACUUUUGAAAGGAGGUAGCCCUACGGGGUCUGUGUCGAGGUGCUGCAUGGUUGUCGUCAGCUCGUGCCGUGAGGUGUCGGCUUAAGUGCCAUAACGAGCGCAACCCCUAUCGCCAGUUACCAUCAAGUAAAGUUGGGGACUCUGGCGAGACUGCCGGCGCAAGCUGAGAGGAAGGCGGGGAUGACGUCAAAUCAGCACGGCCCUUACGUCCGGGGCGACACACGUGUUACAAUGGCAGGUACAGAGAGAAGCCAGGUGGCGACACCGCGCGGAACUCGAAAGCCUGUCUCAGUUCGGAUCGGAGUCUGCAACCCGACUCCGUGAAGCUGGAUUCGCUAGUAAUC
rnacentral:rRNA from 1 species